rnacentral:rRNA from 1 species
AUUGAACGCUGGCGGCAGGCUUAACACAUGCAAGUCGAGCGGAGAUGAGGUGCUUGCACCUUAUCUUAGCGGCGGACGGGUGAGUAAUGCUUAGGAAUCUGCCUAUUAGUGGGGGACAACAUUCCGAAAGGAAUGCUAAUACCGCAUACGUCCUACGGGAGAAAGCAGGGGAUCUUCAGACCUUGCGCUAAUAGAUGAGCCUAAGUCGGAUUAGCUAGUUGGUGGGGUAAAGGCCUACCAAGGCGACGAUCUGUAGCGGGUCUGAGAGGAUGAUCCGCCACACUGGGACUGAGACACGGCCCAGACUCCUACGGGAGGCAGCAGUGGGUAAUAUUGGACAAUGGGGGGAACCCUGAUCCAGCCAUGCCGCGUGUGUGAAGAAGGCCUUAUGGUUGUAAAGCACUUUAAGCGAGGAGGAGGCUACUGAGACUAAUACUCUUGGAUAGUGGACGUUACUCGCAGAAUAAGCACCGGCUAACUCUGUGCCAGCCGCCGCCGUAAGAC